AUUUUAUUGAAGUAGAGUGGAUUUACAAUGUUGGGUUGGUUUCAGGUGUACAGCAACGUGAUUCGAUUAUUUAUCUAUAUAUAUACAUGUGACUCUAAAAUGUCUUUCCGGGAAAGGCUGCUGUGUGUACAAGUUUGCGAGACACAUGAAAACCAGAAAAAUGCUUUGCAACAGAUAAUGCGGACAAAGGGUUAACAUCGCAGCUGGGUUUUGUUGUUGUUCCAAGCAACAGAAAUGGACCUUAGCUGAUUUAAGCAGAAAAGCGAUGGGUACUGAGUCUGGCACAGACUCUCUGGGAGGGAGCACAAUCCUCCCAGUCAGAAACGGCGAUUGUGCUACAGCCCGCCAAGCCCCCCCCUGCUGUCCCUCAUGCUGGGCACUGGCAGGGCUGUAGGUCGACUGCCAUUCCUUCCACCCUCUCCAGGAGAAAAUCUGCCCAGUUCCUGCUCCUUCCCAUCAUUAGCUUCCAAUUGCAUUUCUGAGCUGAGAGCCUCUGAGCAUCCUUGCUACAAGGGGGGCUGGAAGGCAAGCUCCUGACAUUUCCCGCUUCCACUGCAGAAAUCAGGGGAUAUUCCAAAGGGAGGACAAGGAAUUAGAUGCCAGGUGGACAAGAAUAAGGACAGAUGGGUGAUGUCCCUGAUACAUCAGAAGACCUUACAUGAAAGAGGAAAACCUUGGAAUUCCUGUUGUGGCUCAGCAGGUUAAGGACCAGACAUCGUCUCCAUAGGAUGCAGGUUCAAUCCCUGGCCUCACUCAGUGGGUCAGGGAUUGUCUCCAUAGGAUGCAGGUUCAAUCCCUGGCCUCACUCAGGAUCCGAUGUUGCCACGCCUGUGAUGUGAGUGGCAGCUGCAGCUCUGAUGCAACCCCUGGCCCAGGAACUUCCAUAUGCCACACGUGCAGCCGUGAAAAGAAAAAAGAAAACCUUGAUAGAAAAAAUAGGCAAGGAGUUCCCACUGUGGCACGGUAGGUUAAGAAUCCACUGCAGCAUCUCAGGUCAAUGUGGAGAUGAGGUUUGAUCCCCACCCCAGCGCAAUGGCUUAAAGGAUCCAGUGCUGCAGUAGCCGAAGCACAGGUCGCAGCUGUGGCUCAGAUUCACUCCCUAGCCCAGGAAAUUCCAUAUGCUGCAGGUGCGGCCAUAAAAUGAAAAAAGAGAAAGAAAGGAGGGAGGGAAGGAAAGUAAGAAAAAAAAAAUAGGCAAAGUAACACAAAGAGGCAAUUGACAAAAAAUAAAAAUAGGCCAUAAAUAUAUAAAAAGCUGUUUGGCCUCACUAACGUAGCAGCCACCAGUGGUCGCCUACUCCAAGUCAAUUCCCACCUUCUCCCUUGACUGUUUGAACACCAAUCCCAUCGGCAAACAAGUUGGGGAGAGUGUGGGAUCUAAAGCUGGUCAAUGAGCGGGGAGGGAGGUCUGCCAGGAGGCUGCCAGGGAAGGUUUCUGAUGCUCCCCAUCUCUGUAGCUGACACAACAGAACUUCUUGCUCAUGCAAAGUCCAACAACGGCAUUCCUGGCUGGGUGCUCGGUCCAUGCGGUCCUGCUCAGGGAGUCACUCAGACCCUAAGAUCCUUCCUCCGUGUGGAUCUGCCAUCCUCAGAAUAUACUCUCAGGAGUUUCCCUCCUGGUGCAUGGAAAUGAUCCAACUAGAAUCCAUGAGGAUGUAGGUUCGAUCCCUGGCCUCACUCAGUGGGUUGGGGAUCCAGCAUUGCUGUGCAAGGUGGUGUAGGUCGCAGAUGCAGCUCGGAUCUGGCAUUGCUGUUGAUACUGGAAUGAUGAUAUCGGAAUCCAGGUUCUUGUUCACGGCAGUCGAAGAAUGAGCUCCACGAACACACAGGCAGCAAGCAAGCAACAAAAUCUUUAUUAAAGGAAAGCAAAUAGCUCCCAGGGUUGCUGGGAGCAGGGAAAAGGGCCCCCUUUCUCUAUUGCCCUUAAAGGGGGGGAGGAUACCAACGUGGGGUCCAGAAAGAUGUGGUUUUUUUCUCCCAUUGGCCUUGCUCAAUUACCCAUAUCAGUUCUUGUCCAAUAGGGUCUUAGGGGUGGAAAUAUCCCAUAAGUCUCAUAGUCUCUCUGUGCUUUUCUUCCCGUAGACUGAGUCACAGGGGACUAGGGGUUAAUGUCCAUCUGGGCGCAGGUGCACUCCCUGUAGUAAACAAGGCCUGUGGGGAUGUUACUCCCUGGAGCCCAUAAGCCACAAAUGUUAAUCAGUGGCCAUAUCGAAGAAGGCAUCGAAGCUCCUGCUCCUACACUGACUACCUGAGUUAUGCUCAGUGUGGCUCUGGCGUCAGCUGGCAACUGUAGCUCAGAUUCAGCCCCCAGCCUGGGAACUUCCAUAUGCUGUGGGUGCGGCCCUAAAAAAGAAACAAUUAAAAAAAAAAAAAACUCCCAGAUCACUGCAAGGUGCCGUCUGCUCACAUUCCGUUGUCCAAAACAGGUCACAUGAUCACCUGGACACACCCAGCUGCAAAGCACACUGGGAACUGUAGUUUACUCUGUGCCAGGAAGAAAAGGAGCCACAUUUAGCAAACCCCCAUCCCCCCACCCUAGCACU
rnacentral:lncRNA from 1 species